rnacentral:rRNA from 1 species
GACGAACGCUGGCGGCGUGCUUAACACAUGCAAGUCGAACGGAAAGGCCCUGCUUUUGUGGGGUGCUCGAGUGGCGAACGGGUGAGUAACACGUGAGUAACCUGCCCUUGACUUUGGGAUAACUUCAGGAAACUGGGGCUCAUACCGGAUAGGAGCUCCUGCUGCAUGGUGGGGGUUGGUAAGUUUCGGCGGUUGGGGAUGGACUCGCGGCUUAUCAGCUUGUUGGUGGGGUAGUGGCUUACCAAGGCUUUGACGGGUAGCCGGCCUGAGAGGGUGACCGGCCACAAUGGGACUGAGAUACGGCCCAGACUCCAACGGGAGGCAGCAGUGGGGAAUAUUGCACAAUGGGCGGAAGCCUGAUGCAGCAACGCCGCGUGCGGGAUGACGGCCUUCGGGUUGUAAACCGCUUUCGCCUGUGACGAAGCGUGAGUGACGGUAAUGGGUAAAGAAGCACCGGCUAACUACGUG